GGUGGCUCAGUGGUAGAGUGCUUGCCUUGCAUGCAUGAGGCCCUGAGUUCAAUCCUUAGUACCA
rnacentral:tRNA from 1 species